GACCACCCCUGCGAUGGGUGUCCUAAGAGCCAGGGGGGGAAGAGGGGCUGGCUGUCAGUCCCCGCCUCCCGGGGGGUGCCUCCCGCCCCUACGAUGGUGGUUCCAAGAGUCUGGGGGGGAAGAGGGGCUGGCUUUCAGUACCCGCCUCGCGGGGGGUGCCUCCCCCAGGUACCUGCCCUGGGCAGAUUUGAGCUUUCUUCUUGGACACCUAAUACCCACAGUCCUCCAGGCUGAGGUAGAUUGCAAAUGACCUGCUUUCUUUCUGUUCCUGGGUGCCUUCGGACCCCUGUCGGAUAGUAAAUCCCAAGUAAGGUACCUGCCGUCAGCAGAUUUGAGCUUUCUUCUUGGACACCUAAUACCCACAGUCCUCCAGUAAAUCCCAAGUAAGGUACCAGCCGUCGGCAGAUUUGAGCUUUCUUCUUGGACACCUAUACCCACAGUCCUCCAGUGUUUUAGACGCCCAGCUGCACAACUUGAUUGCCUUACAAAUGACCUGCUUCCAGGAUGCGGAAAUUCCUAAUUUCUUCUGUGACCCUUCUCAACUCCCCCAUCUUGCAUGUUGUGACACCUUCACCAAUAACAUAAUCAUGUAUUUCCCUGCUGUCAUAUUUGGUUUUCUUCCCAUCUCUGGGACCCUUUUCUCUUACUAUAAAAUUGUUUCCUCCA
rnacentral:lncRNA from 1 species